rnacentral:rRNA from 1 species
GACGAACGCUGGCGGCGUGCUUAACACAUGCAAGUCGAACGGAAAGGCCCUGCUUUUGUGGGGUGCUCGAGUGGCGAACGGGUGAGUAACACGUGAGUAACCUGCCCUUGACUUUGGGAUAACUUCAGGAAACUGGGGCUAAUACCGGAUAGGAGCUCCUGCUGCAUGGUGGGGGUUGGAAAGUUUCGGCGGUUGGGGAUGGACUCGCGGCUUAUCAGCUUGUUGGUGAGGUAGUGGCUUACCAAGGCUUUGACGGGUAGCCGGCCUGAGAGGGUGACCGGCCACAUUGGGACUGAGAUACAGCCCAGACUCCUACGGGAGGCAGCAGUGGGGAAUAUUGCACAAUGGGCGGAAGCCUGAUGCAGCAACGCCGCGUGCGGGAUGACGGCCUUCGGGUUGUAAACCGCUUUCGCCUGUGACGAAGCGUGAGUGACGGUAAUGGGUAAAGAAGCACCGGCUAACUACGUG